rnacentral:hammerhead_ribozyme from 1 species
AUCCAGCUGACGAGUCCCAAGUAGGACGUCCUGGAU